AAGCAAACAAGGAGCUGCAGCCAUAAAUAAGGGGCAAUGGAUUAUUAUGUGACAAUUGAACUUUGGCCAAGAAACAAUUUAGUUGACCCGUAAAUGAAAUGGAGAGGAUUAAGGAGUCAGGGAAAAAAGGAAGAAGCUGGCGCAACACAACAGGAAGGGGGGAAUACGUUUUGGAACCAAAGAACAGGUAGCACACUUUUGGAGAUUUUUGGGUUUUAGAGAAAGAUGGCAUUUCUAGAGAGAAACACAAAGCAAGGUGUUAGGAGUAGAUUCUAUCCAAGACUUGUUGAGAC
rnacentral:lncRNA from 1 species